rnacentral:rRNA from 1 species
UACAUGGGGUGCAAACGUUGCUCGGAACUAUUGGGCGUAAAGCGCACGUAGGCGGUUCGUUAAGUCAGGUGUGAAAGCCCUCGGCUCAACCGAGGAAGUGCACCUGAAACUGGCGAGCUAGAGUACUAAAGAGGGUCGCGGAAUUCCCGGUGUAGAGGUGAAAUUCGUAGAUAUCGGGAGGAACACCGGUGGCGAAGGCGGCGACCUGGGUAGAUACUGACGCUGAGGUGCGAAAGCGUGGGGAGCAAACAGG